AGUGAACGCUGGCGGUAGGCCUAACACAUGCAAGUCGAACGGCAGCACAGUAAGAGCUUGCUCUUACGGGUGGCGAGUGGCGGACGGGUGAGGAAUACAUCGGAAUCUACUUUUUCGUGGGGGAUAACGUAGGGAAACUUACGCUAACACCGCAUACGACCUACGGGUGAAAGCAGGGGAUCUUCGGACCUUGCGCGAUUGAAUGAGCCGAUGUCGGAUUAGCUAGUUGGCGGGGUAAAGGCCCACCAAGGCGACGAUCCGUAGCUGGUCUGAGAGGAUGAUCAGCCACACUGGAACUGAGACACGGUCCAGACUCCUACGGGAGGCAGCAGUGGGGAAUAUUGGACAAUGGGCGCAAGCCUGAUCCAGCCAUACCGCGUGGGUGAAGAAGGCCUUCGGGUUGUAAAGCCCUUUUGUUGGGAAAGAAAAGCAGCAGGUUAAGACCCCGCUGUUCUGACGGGACCCAAAGAAUAAGCACCGGCUAACUGCGG
rnacentral:rRNA from 1 species